rnacentral:misc_RNA from 1 species
UCUCAUUGAAGCCAAUAACUGCAAUGGGUCUGAUAAUCCAUCUGGUUCAAUAAUGCAAAGUAACAGUAACAUACCAAAUUCAAAAACAACUACACAAAGGAAUGAACACUAAUAGCAAACCAUCUCCCAAGGCAAUGUAGACGAGGAAAUAUCAGCACAAAGAAGCUCACAGGGUUGCAUUUCCCUCUACAAAGGUGAUGCGGGUGAGGAAACACAAAAACAGUAGGUGGAUCUUUGACCAAACAACCCAUAUGGUUGCAAUAUAGUAGCUGUCCAAACUUCAACAAACCUUCAAAGGGAGUAUCAAAAGGGCAGCAAAACACAAAUAGGGUUGCAAGUCCCCUAAAGAAGAACCAAGCAAAGGAGGGCGAGUGACAAUAUGUCCCAAACCAAAAAAUUCUUACAGUAAUCCUAAUCUCAACAGCCACUGAAACAAUGUUCCAAACCAGGCAAGAGAACCUUCAAAGACGCAACAAACACAAAACCAAAAAUGACAGCGAUCAAAUAUCUCUCGAAUGGACAAAAUACAAAAAGAGAAUGCCUUCAAUAGUGCAGGAAUACACACAUCAACUGAGGCCAAAAGAACUCCCAAAAGAGAUCCAAUCAUCAGUCUUACAGUAGCCAUAGUAGCCCAAAUCCUUGAACCAAUCACAGUUGCACAAGAAUAGCUUCACAAUUUUAACGCUAACAGUACGAAAGGUUCAAUUUCAAGUUCAACUACCUAGGAUCACCAAAAUUCAAAGUUGUCCAUAGAACUACAUUCCACCCUUCAAUGCGACAUUAGAGAGAAUGGAUUAUUGGGCGAUGUCAGACGACGUGCAAAAUUUCGCAAGUGCAUGGAUCAUUAAUAAGUAAUAGAGCGAUGAGUAGAAUAUCGUUUCGACAGAGAUCGUAAUGCAUACUGAACUGAAUUGUAAUCUUAAUUAACUAUCAAAUUCUAUUCAUACCAAAAGAAAAAAAAUUAAAAACUUUUUAUCACUAAUGGCAAAAUGUAAACUAAUUAAGUAAAUUGAACAUUAAUAAAUUAAAACAUUCUAGAGCUAGGGGUUCAUACUUUAAUCAAUCAUAGAUUUAAUCCAAUUUAUUCAACAAAUGAAAAAUUAUAACUUUAAAGGAAAUUAAUCCUAAGUUACUGUAAUCCCUCUCUAAUUCGAGCUGUAUUCCAAUUAACAUAAAUCCUACUCUCAUGGCAUUUAAAUUGGAUAAAUUUUAACAACUG